rnacentral:rRNA from 11 species
UUAGGACUUCAGAAUAUCCUGAAGGCACCAGAUCCCAUGUGAUUAUGGAAGCUAAGAAGGGUCAAUCUAAGUUAGUUCUUUGAUCGUAGACUGCCAAUGAAUAUAACUAAUACCAUAC